rnacentral:rRNA from 1 species
UACGUAGGGGGCAAGCGUUGUCCGGAUUUAUUGGGCGUAAAGAGCGUGUAGGCGGCCUGACAGGUCUGCUGUGAAAACUCGAGGCUCAACCUCGAGAUGUCGGCGGAAACCGUCUGGCUAGAGUCCGGAAGAGGAGAGUGGAAUUCCUGGUGUAGCGGUGAAAUGCGCAGAUAUCAGGAGGAACACCGAUGGCGAAGGCGGCUCACUGGCCCGGUACUGACGCUGAGGUGCGAAAGCGUGGGGAGCAAACAGG